GGCCUGAUAGCAUAACUGGUAGUGCUCCUGCUACACAUAGGCGUGGAUAAUCCUUGUUUCUGCAGGAGGUCCCUGUUCGAUCCAGGGUCAGGUCU